GGCGGCGGCCUCGAGGUUGUCCUGCUGUGCUCCGCAGUGCUCCAACGCCGCGGGGCGGCUCCGGGCGCCGCCUCAGCUUCUACAGGAGAGACGUUGUGGGUGAGACAGAGGGAACAUCAAAUGAGAAACUGGGAAGAGAUAUGAAGUAGCGGGACCAGUUUUUCUAAAUGUUUCUCAACAGAAAGCUCAACUGAUCAAAGAGAAGGAAGGAAGCAAUUUGCUGGACUCCCAGGACACCAACGCAGAGCUACCUUCGAGCCGGCACUGUGUGACUGCAUGGAGACUGUCUGUGCCAGUGGGCCAGACCUAAAGAAGGAACUACCAGAUGAUGCUGAGGAUUCCUGCAUUCAUCGACAGAAGCAGUUUAGUGAGACAAAGGAACCGUAAGGCAGGAUAUGCAGUAACUGCUACUGAGCAG
rnacentral:lncRNA from 1 species